GAUGAACGCUAGCUGCAGGCUUAACACAUGCAAGUCGCAGGACUGGCGCACGGGUGAGUAACGCGUAUCCAACCUUCCCAUAACUACGGGAUAACCCGUUGAAAGACGGCCUAAUACCGUAUGGUUAUGGAUGGGGAUGCGUCUGAUUAGCUUGUUGGCGGGGUAACGGCCCACCAAGGCGGCGAUCAGUAGGGGUUGUGAGAGGAAGGUCCCCCACAUUGGAACUGAGACCCGGUCCAAACGCCUACUGGCGGCAGGAGGUAGUAAUAUUGGUAAAUGAGCGUGAGCCUGACCCAGCCAAGUAGUGUGCAGGAUGACGGCCUGUGUGGUGUAAACUGCUUUUAUGUGGGGAUCGGUACCACAUGAAUAAGGACCGGCUAAUUCCGUGCCAGCAGCCGCGGUAAUAC
rnacentral:rRNA from 1 species